rnacentral:rRNA from 1 species
UACGGGGGGAGCAAGCGUUGUUCGGAUUUACUGGGCGUAAAGGGCGCGUAGGCGGUCAGCACAAGUCAGUUGUGAAAUCUCCGGGCUUAACUCGGAAAGGUCAACUGAUACUGUGCGACUAGAGUGCAGAAGGGGCAACUGGAAUUCUCGGUGUAGCGGUGAAAUGCGUAGAUAUCGAGAGGAACACCUGCGGCGGAGGCGGGUUGCUGGGCUGACACUGACGCUGAUGCGCGAAAGCCAGGGGAGCGAACGGG